UGUGCAAUUUAUUAACCGAAGCAAAGGAAGGAAAUGGCAGAGACUAAAACGAUGAUGAUAGAGGAAGAAUGGCUUGAUGUUCUCACUAAAACUGGAGAGAAAACCGGAAUUUCCAAGCCCAGGGCAGAGGUACACAGAAAUGGAGACUAUCACCGGGCUGUACACGUGUGGAUUUAUGCGGAGAGCACACAGGAAGUGCUUCUUCAAAAGAGAGCUGAUGGUAAGGAUUCAUGGGCUGGACUGUGGGAUAUAUCCAGCGCUGGUCAUAUUUCUGCUGCCGAUUCUUCUCUUAUAACUGCUAGGAGGGAACUUCAGGAAGAGCUAGGCAUUGCCCUUCCAAAAGAUGCAUUUGAGUUGCUUUUUGUAUUUCUUCAAGAGUGCAUCAUAAAUGACGGAAGUUAUAUCAAUAAUGAGUACAAUGAUGUGUAUCUCGUAACAACUGUACAUCCAAUUCCUUUGGAAGCUUUCACUCUUCAAGAAACAGAAGUAUCUGCUGUAAAAUAUGUCUCCUUUGAAGAAUAUAGAAGCUUACUUACUAAAGAACAUCCAGACUAUGUCCCAUAUGAUGUAAAUGGGCAAUAUGGUCAACUCUUUGACAUAAUUCAGCAAAGGUAUAAAGAAAACACCACAGCACGCAGCUUGACACUGCAGAAGCAGCUGUAUCGAUAUGCUCCUGUUUCUCUUAGUGAGGAGUUGUCGGGUCUAUCUGACGGAGACAAGGAGGCAUUAUGUUUUCUUAUUAAGGCUGCAAAAGUUGUGGAUGAAAUCUUCUAUGUGCAGGUUUGGCACAGCAAUCCCUCUCUAAGAGAUUGGUUGAAAGAGCACGCCGAUGCAUCAGAAUUGGACAAGAUGAAAUGGAUGUAUUAUUCAAUUAAUAAGAGCCCGUGGUCCUCUCUUGAUGAAAAUAAGGCAUUUUUGACUACUGCUGAUUCAGCUGUAAAGCUGCUUCCUGAAGCCACAAAGCCAGUUGGAGGAUGGAAGGGUCUAGAAUAUAAGUCGGCAUUUCCUAUUCAUAUACCACCUGGUGCAAAUUUUUAUCCCCCAGACAUGGAUAAAAUGGAAUUUGAAUUAUGGAAGAGCACUCUCACAGAGUCUCAACAAGAAGAUGCAACCGGAUUUUUCACUGUCAUCAAAAGGCAUAGUGAAUUCAAUUUGGACUCCUCUCUAUUAAAUCAAACAGUUGGUAGUGCAGGUCAUUUGGUUGGUAAGCAUGAUCUGUUUAGCAUUCCUUACUCUGGAGAGUAUAAUUCUCUCCUUGCAAAAGCUGCUGAGCUAUUGCAUAAAGCUGGGAACUUGGCUAGUUCACCAAGUUUGAAGAGGUUACUGCAUAGCAAAGCUAAUGCAUUCCUUUCAAAUGACUACUAUGACUCAGAUAUAGCCUGGAUGGAAUUGGAUUCCAAGUUGGAUGUAACUAUAGGUCCAUAUGAGACAUAUGAAGAUACACUUUUUGGAUAUAAGGCUGCUUUUGAAGCAUUCAUUGGAGUCAGGGAUGACAAAGCAACAGCUCAACUUAAGCUCUUCGGUGAUAAUUUGCAGGUUUUGGAGCAAAAUCUUCCAAUAGAUAAUGCUUACAAAUCAACUGGUGUUAAUGCUGCUCCUAUUCGUGUCAUUCAACUUAUCUUUAAUGCGGGAGAUGUAAAGGGUCCUCAAACAGUUGCUUUUAAUUUACCCAACGAUGAGCGUAUAGUUAAAGAUCGAGGAACUUCAAUGGUCAUGCUCAAGAAUGUUUCACAGGCCAAGUUCAAGCAUAUUCUUCAGCCCAUAGCCGAUGUCUGUAUUACCAAGGAACAGAAGGAACUUGUAGAUUUUGAAUCUUUCUUUACACACACCAUCUGCCAUGAAUGCUGCCAUGGUAUUGGACCCCAUUCAAUUACACUCCCAAAUGGUGAAAAAUCUACAGUGAGAAAGGAGCUACAAGAACUCCACUCAGCUUUAGAAGAAGCAAAAGCUGAUAUAGUUGGCCUUUGGGCACUAAAGUUCUUAAUCGACAAGGAUAUGCUUUCAAAGAGUCUGGUGGAGUCUAUGUAUGUCUCUUUUCUUGCCGGAUGCUUUCGCUCAGUUCGAUUUGGUUUAAAAGAAGCUCAUGGAAAAGGACAAGCAGUGCAGUUCAACUGGUUAUUUGAGAAAAAAGCAUUCAUAUUGCACCCUGAUGGCACUUUCUCCAUUGAUUUUGCCAAGGUUGAAGGGGCAGUUGAAAGCCUUAGCCGGGAAAUACUAACUAUACAGGCAAAAGGUGAUAAAGCAGCUGCAAGGUUGCUGCUUCAGAAAUACUGUGUAAUGACAGAGCCCUUAAAACUAGCAUUGAACAAAUUAGAGGCUGUUCAGGUGCCUGUGGAUAUAGUUCCCACAUUUCCCAUAGCCGAUGAGAUAUCAGAGUAGAGGCAGUUUUACUGUGUUCAAGCAUGAAAAUUGCACAGCUUUCUUGCUCUGCGGAUCAAAUAACUGAAAAUUUGACAAUGGUAGAUCAUCUUCAUUGUUUUUAGCAAUAAAUCUAGCACUCUUGGCGUGAUAUCUUCAAUGUUGACUGCAAUAAAUCCAGAACAGUUGAUGUCUUGGGGAAAAUGCUCUUCCACGUAAUUUCGAAGUUCACAUCUAGAGGAAAAAAUACCAAUGGCAUUUCUCCCCUAACUUAGAUCGCAAGUAUCGAAUAUAUGCUACCUCAAGAAAACAGUGUCAAAUAUACGAGUGAGAUUUUCAAAUAGAUGUAAAAUAAAUGAUCUGGAGAGCUAUUUUGAUUCUAUUUUGCUGCAGCAAACGCUUUGAUGAUAAAAUAGAAACCAUGACUUUCAGUAUU